rnacentral:hammerhead_ribozyme from 1 species
AUACUGAUGAAGAGUCCGACAUUGGGACGAAAUGGCCGUCCAGUAC